AGCGAACGCUGGCGGCAGGCUUAACACAUGCAAGUCGAACGCCCGGGCAACCGGGAGUGGCAGACGGGUGAGUAACACGUGGGAACGUACCCUUUGGUUCGGAAUAACUCAGGGAAACUUGAGCUAAUACCGGAUAAGCCCUUUUGGGGAAAGAUUUAUCGCCGAAGGAUCGGCCCGCGUCCGAUUAGCUAGUUGGUGAGGUAACGGCUCACCAAGGCGACGAUCGGUAGCUGGUCUGAGAGGAUGAUCAGCCACACUGGGACUGAGACACGGCCCAGACUCCUACGGGAGGCAGCAGUGGGGAAUAUUGGACAAUGGGGGCAACCCUGAUCCAGCCAUGCCGCGUGAGUGAUGAAGGCCCUAGGGUUGUAAAGCUCUUUCGGCGGGGACGAUAAUGACGGUACCCGCAGAAGAAGCCCCGGCUAACUUCGUGCCAGCAGCCGCCGUAAAAC
rnacentral:rRNA from 1 species